CAGGAUGAACGCUAGCUACAGGCUUAACACAUGCAAGUCGAGGGGCAGCAUGGUCUUAGCUUGCUAAGGCCGAUGGCGACCGGCGCACGGGUGAGUAACACGUAUCCAACCUGCCGUCUACUCUUGGACAGCCUUCUGAAAGGAAGAUUAAUACAAGAUGGCAUCAUGAGUCCGCAUGUUCACAUGAUUAAAGGUAUUCCGGUAGACGAUGGGGAUGCGUUCCAUUAGAUAGUAGGCGGGGUAACGGCCCACCUAGUCUUCGAUGGAUAGGGGUUCUGAGAGGAAGGUCCCCCACAUUGGAACUGAGACACGGUCCAAACUCCUACGGGAGGCAGCAGUGAGGAAUAUUGGUCAAUGGGCGAGAGCCUGAACCAGCCAAGUAGCGUGAAGGAUGACUGCCCUAUGGGUUGUAAACUUCUUUUAUAAAGGAAUAAAGUCGGGUAUGGAUACCCGUUUGCAUGUACUUUAUGAAUAAGGAUCGGCUAACUCCGUGCCAGCAGCCGCGGUAAUACGGAGGAUCCGAGCGUUAUCCGGAUUUAUUGGGUUUAAAGGGAGCGUAGAUGGAUGUUUAAGUCAGUUGUGAAAGUUUGCGGCUCAACCGUAAAAUUGCAGUUGAUACUGGAUAUCUUGAGUGCAGUUGAGGCAGGCGGAAUUCGUGGUGUAGCGGUGAAAUGCUUAGAUAUCACGAAGAACUCCGAUUGCGAAGGCAGCCUGCUAAGCUGCAACUGACAUUGAGGCUCGAAAGUGUGGGUAUCAAACAGGAUUAGAUACCCUGGUAGUCCACACGGUAAACGAUGAAUACUCGCUGUUUGCGAUAUACGGCAAGCGGCCAAGCGAAAGCGUUAAGUAUUCCACCUGGGGAGUACGCCGGCAACGGUGAAACUCAAAGGAAUUGACGGGGGCCCGCACAAGCGGAGGAACAUGUGGUUUAAUUCGAUGAUACGCGAGGAACCUUACCCGGGCUUAAAUUGCAGAUGAAUUACGGUGAAAGCCGUAAGCCGCAAGGCAUCUGUGAAGGUGCUGCAUGGUUGUCGUCAGCUCGUGCCGUGAGGUGUCGGCUUAAGUGCCAUAACGAGCGCAACCCUUGUUGUCAGUUACUAACAGGUUCCGCUGAGGACUCUGACAAGACUGCCAUCGUAAGAUGUGAGGAAGGUGGGGAUGACGUCAAAUCAGCACGGCCCUUACGUCCGGGGCUACACACGUGUUACAAUGGGGGGUACAGAGGGCCGCUACCACGCGAGUGGAUGCCAAUCCCCAAAACCUCUCUCAGUUCGGACUGGAGUCUGCAACCCGACUCCACGAAGCUGGAUUCGCUAGUAAUCGCGCAUCAGCCACGGCGCGGUGAAUACGUUCCCGGGCCUUGUACACACCGCCCGUCAAGCCAUGGGAGCCGGGGGUACCUGAAGUGCGUAACCGCGAGGAGCGCCCUAGGGUAAA
rnacentral:rRNA from 1 species